UUGAACGCUGGCGGCAGGCCUAACACAUGCAAGUCGAGCGGAUGAAGGGAGCUUGCUCCUGGAUUCAGCGGCGGACGGGUGAGUAAUGCCUAGGAAUCUGCCUGGUAGUGGGGGAUAACGUCCGGAAACGGGCGCUAAUACCGCAUACGUCCUGAGGGAGAAAGUGGGGGAUCUUCGGACCUCACGCUAUCAGAUGAGCCUAGGUCGGAUUAGCUAGUUGGUGGGGUAAAGGCCUACCAAGGCGACGAUCCGUAACUGGUCUGAGAGGAUGAUCAGUCACACUGGAACUGAGACACGGUCCAGACUCCUACGGGAGGCAGCAGUGGGGAAUAUUGCACAAUGGGCGGAAGCCUGAUGCAGCAACGCCGCGUGCGGGAUGACGGCCUUCGGGUUGUAAACCGCUUUCGCCUGUGACGAAGCGUGAGUGACGGUAAUGGGUAAAGAAGCACCGGCUAACUACGUG
rnacentral:rRNA from 1 species